rnacentral:rRNA from 1 species
AGCGAACGCUGGCGGCAGGCCUAACACAUGCAAGUCGAACGAACUCUUCGGAGUUAGUGGCGGACGGGUGAGUAACACGUGGGAACGUGCCUUUUGGUUCGGAAUAACUCAGGGAAACUUGUGCUAAUACCGAAUGUGCCCUUCGGGGGAAAGAUUUAUCGCCAUUAGAGCGGCCCGCGUCUGAUUAGCUAGUUGGUGAGGUAACGGCUCACCAAGGCGACGAUCAGUAGCUGGUCUGAGAGGAUGACCAGCCACACUGGGACUGAGACACGGCCCAGACUCCUACGGGAGGCAGCAGUGGGGAAUCUUGCGCAAUGGGCGAAAGCCUGACGCAGCCAGGCCGCGUGAAUGAUGAAGGUCUUAGGAUUGUAAAAUUCUUUCACCGGGGACGAUAAGGACGGUACCCGGAGAAGAAGCCCCGGCGAACUUCGU